rnacentral:tRNA from 1 species
GCCUGGGUGGCUCAGUUGGUUGAGUGUCUGACUGCGGAUUUCGGUUCACGUCCUGAUCUCAGGGUCACGGGAUCAAGCCCCGUGUCAGGCU